CUUGGUUCCAUGAAUUAGGCAUUUGAAAUUUAUCCAACCACCUAGCAGCCUUAUCCACCGUUUGACCGCUUCAGCCUGCAGCCUGGGAAGAGUUUCGGUCAAACUCUCCCCCACGUGAGCAGCGAAAGUCCAAACCUUCCGUGCGCGAGGUGAGGCUCGAACCCUAGACCUCCGUCUGCCCUUGUGUCUUCGCCCGUGCUGCUGGCCACUGCACCCUGC
rnacentral:lncRNA from 1 species